rnacentral:lncRNA from 10 species
UAUUUGGUGCUCUACCCCCGUGUGGUGAAGUGGAACAUAAACUGCAAGACAAAGUCCCCUUUACUCUUUCCUCUCCUUUCCUCAAGCAGAGGGGGUCUUUCCCUGUGGCCACCACAGCAGGGAAUAUGCUGGGUCACACCUAAAGCCAGCAUGUUUCAGUGUCUUACCCAAGGCCCAUGGUGUACUACCUGGGUGCCACUCUGGCUUCCAAGUUGCAAGACAAAGUCCUCUUUACUCUCCCCGCUCCUCUCCUCAAGUAGAGGAAAGGAAUCUCUUUCAGUGGUUUGAGCUGCACUGCUUGGGGUUGGGAGAGGGGUGGCUCAAGCACUCCCUUGGCCACCCCAGCUGAUGUUUCACUGGGUUGUGUGUCCAAAUCCACUGGCUCCAAGCCCAGCACAGCAACAGGACUUGCCCAGGAACGGCAGUCCUUGUAGCCCAG